GACGAACGCUGGCGGCGUGCUUAACACAUGCAAGUCGAACGGAAAGGCCCUGCUUUUGUGGGGUGCUCGAUUGGCGAACGGGUGAGUAACACGUGAGUAACCUGCCCUUGACUUUGGGAUAACUUCAGGAAACUGGGGAUAAUACCGGAUAGGAGCUCCUGCUGCAUGGUGGGGGUUGGAAAGUUUCGGCGGUUGGGGAUGGAUUCGCGGCUUAUCAGCUUGUUGGUGGGGUAGUGGCGUACCAAGGCUUUGACGGAUAGCCGGCCUGAGAGGGUGACCGGCCACAUUGGGACUGAGAUACGGCGCAGACUCCUACGGGAGGCAGCAGUGGGGAAUAUUGCACAAUGGGGGGGAGCCUGAUGCAGCAACGCCGCGUGCGGGAUGACGGCCUUCGGGUUGUAAACCGCUUUCGACUGUGACGAAGCGUGAGUGACGGUAAUGGGUAAAGAAGCACCGGCUAACUACGUG
rnacentral:rRNA from 1 species